UGUCCAGGAGCAGGAUCCCGGUUUGGCUCUGUUUGGUCAGUGUUGAGCGACGUCUUUGAUGUCUAGUGCGCCCUGAUCGUCUCUUCCUCCCGACGCAGUAGGAAUCCACAACAAAGUUAAUCAGACCAACAAGGAUCAAUAGAAAAAUGGUGGUUGACGAGGAGCGAACUGAGAGCCUGUGGCUCGGUCAGGGUCUCACACGGCGGGGGCACUGUGUGCGGCCGGCGGGAGGAACUGAAGAGUCGGGGAUGUGACCAAACGCAGGCUCUCUCAGGUCCGGAACGUCAUCGCACCUGGCCUUCGGAGAUGCCCGCCCGGAGUCAGACACAGCUGCUUCUGGGCAUGUAGACUGCGCCCAGGAGCUCAGAGCACAGAACACAGCAAGAGCCACAUGAGAGGUGCCAGCGCUGUGAGCUGCCCCUGGGCUCUGCUGUCUCACCUUAUCUGGAGUCUGUCGGGACAUGGGCUUAUGAGCUGUUCUGGUGGGAUGGUGUGCAGUCUGGCAUGCCAGCGACCGUAAAGGACAAGUUGGACAGCCACGUGCAGAGAUUCAGAGGACCUGGGAAGCGGAAGGAGCAUGGGGAUCGGCCAGCAGCUUUGGUCCUGGGAGCCGUGAAGCCAGUGUAGUGGGAGCAGAGGUUCUGGAUGGUGCAGGACGCCCGUGCAGGGCUGAGGAAUUUGCCCACCAUCCUGCGGGCUGUAAGGCGCUCUGAGGGCCACCUCAGCCGGGAACAAGGUGGUGAACUGGAUGUGUGGCUCAGCAGAGGAAGGGCUGGGGAGGUGGGGGAGGAUUCUGCUGGGACGUUCCAGGGUGGAUCAGACCCAAAUUCCCCUUUGUCAUUGCAUACCUUCCUGAAUUUGGGCAGAUUGUGUAUAUCUCCUCUGAAUCAU